AACUGUAUGGCCUAGUGAUUAGAGCAUCCGCCUAGGAUGCGGGAGGUUAUAGGUUCGAAUCCUGCCGAGUCA